rnacentral:rRNA from 1 species
CCUACGGGUGGCAGCAGUGGGGAAUAUUGCACAAUGGGGGAAACCCUGAUGCAGCGACGCCGCGUGAGUGAAGAAGUAUUUCGGUACGUAAAGCUCUAUCAGCAGGGAAGAAAAUGACGGUACCUGACUAAGAAGCCCCGGCUAACUACGUGCCAGCAGCCGCGGUAAUACGUAGGGGGCAAGCGUUAUCCGGAUUUACUGGGUGUAAAGGGAGCGUAGACGGCAGCGCAAGUCUGGAGUGAAAUCCCAUGGCUUAACCAUGGAACUGCUUUGGAAACUGUGCAGCUAGAGUGCAGGAGCGGUAAGCGGAAUUCCUAGUGUAGCGGUGAAAUGCGUAGAUAUUAGGAGGAACACCAGUGGCGAAGGCGGCUUACUGGACUGUAACUGACGUUGAGGCUCGAAAGCGUGGGGAGCAAACAGGAUUAGAUACCCCAGUAGUC